ACCAUAAUGCCCUUGGUCCGCCACCUUCCUUCAGCCAAUCUCCUCUCUGCGUCCUUCUCCAAACCCCUUCGUUUCCUCUCAAUGGCGACCAAGACCCACUUGGAUUCCAUCGAUUCCCAGGUCAAAAACGACCCCACAAGUCUCCAAAAUUACCCGGUACCCCUGUCCCCACCACUGCCCUCCAUAUCCAAGAACAUAGAGCUCAACAGAGCCUUAACUGCUUCUUCAAGAUCGUCCCUUUUUUCUCUUUCAAGAAAUCAUGUGCUUUUUGAAGACCAGUGGCUCAUUGCUAUUAACAAGCCUCAAGGGAUUUACUGUGAGAAUGUCUUGUCUGCUGUCCCGAGCCUACUCACCGAUUCCACUGACUCAGGAACUGAAGUGAAGCUGACGGAGCUUCAUCUAGCUAAUAGACUUGAUCGUGACACUAGUGGUAUCAUGAUAAUUACCAAGUCACAUAAAGUGGCUGCCAAGCUUGUAAAAGCUUUUACAGAACACAAGGUCAGGAAAACAUACAUAGCUUCCUGUGUUGGUCAAGCUCCAAAAUGGGUAAAUAUCACAAUGAAGUCCGGUCAUGGACGAUCAAGGUACGGAGCCUGGCGUGUUUAUGCUGCUUCAGAUGUGGGUAAGACACUACCAGGCGGAUCAAUUGUCAAGGAUAUGGAAACCUUAUUUGAAGUGUUAUCAGUAAAUGAGCAAGGGCAAUUUAAAGAGUUUUCUGAAUCAGGAAGAGACAUAUCAGAAGUUAUGAUUAUUGAACAGAAAUCUGAAAUUGAUUGCAACUUGAAGAAAGAUGAGAUUUUGGUGAGAGCAUACCCCAAGAGUGGAAGAACACAUCAAAUUCGCUUGCACUGCCAGUACCUGGGAAUGCCUAUUAGAGGGGAUGUAAAAUAUGAAGGUGCCUAUGAGUGGAAAGAAAGAACAUAUGAUGGUCAUGAGCUUCACGCAGAGAGCUUGUCCUUUGAGCAUCCUGUUACUGCUGAAAAUGUGUUAAUUCAAGCACCUCUACCAUCGUGGGCUUGCCAAUUUUUUGAGUCUGAGCCAUUGUGGACAAACUAAAGCUUUCAAAGUUCUAGGAAUCAUGUAGCAAGAUACUACUCCUGUUCAGUUCCACAAUAGCACAUUAGUCCUGAUUUACAUUCAUUAUUAACAAGCCGCAGAAGGUUUUGGUGCGCUAUUUAAUGAGAUAACUUAUUGCAUCUGUGUAUUGCAGUCGAUGAUAUAAGAAUCAUGCGAUUUGGAGAUGAGAUUGCUCCUACAUUGCAGCAGAUGGACUAGUGCAUAAUUAAGGUAUAAGUAAUCAUCUUUAAAUUCAAAAUGAGCAUCUCAGGGAUUACUGCAGCGAGGAACAUACACAGGAAACAGCAAAGAAUCAUGAUCCUCUUCUGCUAGAAGUUCACGAUAGCUGUGACUAGGAUAUGUGCUUUAUGCCUGGAAACCUGGAUCAAAACUCAUCGUGUUUGACCAGAAACAGCCAGUAAUUUGUCUUUGACUUCCAAGUUGCUGGGUGGACUUAGGAUUCUGCUUUGAGUGAUUAAAUGUCAUAGAGCCUCUUUCUUUGCUCUAAACGGUGAGGUGCUCGUUGGGCAAAUAUAAAAUCUAGGAUUUGGCUGGUUCAAUAAGACCAGGUAUUUGUUAGGUGAAUAGACUUGCCAACAUUUAUAGUUAAGUGUACGGAAUUUCGUGUUGAAUAUCUGGUCCAAACCAUAGUUUUUGCAUUUCCAUUUAUUAUCCGUCCGUCCUUUUUAUUCGUUUACGAAAGUUGAUGAGACUUGUACUGAAGCACAGAGAGUGGCAUCUUAGUAAUGCCCUAAGGUAAUAGAAUUUUAUGAUUAACUCGUUAAUUUCCACUUUGUAGUUUUCCAGCCGCCUAUUCAGAUUGUUUGCAGCCAUGUGAAAUUGAAGAUUCUAAAGUCCUGGAGUUCUGUUCUUUCCUCUUUUAGAUUAAACAACAGCAGUCUGAUGUUCCAGAACUGAUGUAAAUUUUCACAGGGACGCCCAUAUGUGCAUCAAAUUUUCAAUCUUGGAUACAGAUCAGAACGUGGGUUUCCAUGAACUAUGAUUAAUUAAAAGAGGUAUAAAUGUGAAUUCAAGACGCAGCAAAGGUGGGGAGAUUCAUUGCCAAGAAUACAAAUAAAGUUCUUUUACUUUUUCUGAUAUCCUUUCACGAUGAAACUUUCAAAUGAAGAUCUCGACCAUUGACUUUCCUGAAGGAACUUGCUGCGUAGCUACUAGCUACAGAGUACAGAGUCGCCUUGGACAUCAAGCAUCAGCACUUCAAAAGAGGCAACUUUGGACUUUUGUCACCUUAAUUGCUAAAAUAUAUUCCUCUUAUCUUAAAAAUUAAAACCCUUUUAGCUAACAGGAUUUCCGUACCAAACCUGUUGCAUAUGUAAUCAUGUCGUUAAGUUGACUGGAUGUUUAGGCAUGCACUACUCCUCUCUUUCUCUGUAGACAUGGGACGUAAAUUUUUAUUACUCCUCUUAAGGAAUUUGACUGUCAUGGUGCAGUUACAUUUAUUGCCUGUAAAAAUGCUUAUGAUCACUGGAAAUGACAUAUUCUUGCAUGUA